AGUGAACGCUGGCGGUAGGCCUAACACAUGCAAGUCGAACGGCAGCACAGUAAGAGCUUGCUCUUACGGGUGGCGAGUGGCGGACGGGUGAGGAAUACAUCGGAAUCUACUUUUUCGUGGGGGAUAACGUAGGGAAACUUACGCUAAUACCGCAUACGACCUACGGGUGAAAGCAGGGGAUCUUCGGACCUUGCGCGAUUGAAUGAGCCGAUGUCGGAUUAGCUAGUUGGCGGGGUAAAGGCCCACCAAGGCGACGAUCCGUAGCUGGUCUGAGAGGAUGAUCAGGCACACUGGAACUGAGACACGGUCCAGACUCCUACGGGAGGCAGCAGGGGGGAAUAUUGGACAAUGGGCGGAAGCCUGAUCCAGCCAAACCGCGGGGGUGAAGAAGGCCUUCGGGUUGUAAAGCCCUUUUGGUGGGAAAGAAAAGCAGCAGGUUAAUACCCCGCUGUUCUGACGGUACCCAAAGAAUAAGCACCGGCUAACUUCGUG
rnacentral:rRNA from 1 species